AGGAAAAAUUAAUUGAUGUUGUUAAUAAAAAUAGAAAUAUUAAUUUAGUAAUAAAAUUGAAUUUUUGAGAUUAUCAAUAGAUUAGUGUAUUGUAAGAGAAUUUUGAAAAAUUGAAAAAUGUUUUUUAGAGAAGUUAUGUUUUGUACCUUUUGUAUUAGGGGUUAACUAAAUUAAUUAAAUAUUUAUUUUUCCCGAAAAAUUUUGAGCUAUUUGCACAUUUUUAUGUUGUUGCAAAAAUAUAGAUUAGUGUUAAGUAGAAAUGAAAUUUUACUCGAAAAGUUGGAUAUCUGGUUAUUUUAGAGAAAUUAAAUAUUUUAAAUAAUUAUUUCAUUUUUAUGAAGUUAUUUAUUUACUUUUUAGGGAUAAGCUUAAAAAGUUAAUAUAAAGAUUUAUUGUGAGGUUGUUUAAGGUUUAAAAUUUACUGAGUUUUUGUAAUAAAAUAGCUAGAUGGUUUUUAAAUGUUAUUAAUUUUUUUUUAAAUAAUUGAGUUUAAGAAAAUUUAUGUUAAUAUUAGUAUAAAUUUGGGGUUUUAAUAAAAUUAAUAGUAUUUUAGUAAAGUGAUUAAAUUUAUAGGAAUUAGGCAAUAUAAAUUUUUGAAUGUUUAUCAAAAACAUUGUAUUUUGAGGUAGUAAAAUAUAAAACCUGCUCAAUGAUGCUUAAAUUGCUGUGGUAUUUUGACUAUACGAAGGUAUUGAAAUAAGGCUUUAAUUGAGUGCUAAGAGAAUGGUUUAACAAAGAUUAACUUUCUUUAAAUUUAUAAUAGAAGUUGAUUUAAAAAUGAAAAAGUUUUUAUUUAUUUUUGGGACAAGAAGACCCUAUGAAUUUUUUUUAUGACUUUGUUUAAAAUUUUUUGAAAAUAAAAUGAAGUAAAUUUAUAAGUUGAUUGGGGUGAUUUUUAAAGAAUAUUUAUCUUUAAAAUUUGUAGGAAUUAGAACCAAAAAUUUUGGUUGUUUGAAUAAAAUACUCUAGGGAUAACAGCGUAAUUAUUUUGGAUAGUUCAUAUAGAUAAAAUAGUUUGCGACCUCGAUGUUGGAUUAAGAUACUAGUAUAAUGAAGCAGUUAUAUUAAGAAGUUUGCUCAACUUUUGAAAUCUUACAUGAUCUGAGUUCAGACCGGCGUAAGCCAGGUUGGUUUCUAUCUGAAUAAGUAUAAGAAAUUUUUUAGUACGAAAGGAAUUAAAUUUAUAAAUUAUUUAGUUAAUUAUUUUGAAUAUAAUGUUAAUAUUCUA
rnacentral:rRNA from 1 species